GUAUUCACUUCCACAGCACAUAUACUAAAAUUGGAACAAUACAGAGAAGAUUAACAUGGCACUCGUACAAGGAUGAUAUGCAAAUCUGUGAAGCAUUCCAUAUUUUG